rnacentral:tRNA from 1 species
AUUUUCUUAGUAUAAUUAGUACUAGUGGCUUCCAACCACUAAAUCUUGGUUAAACCCCAAGAGAAGAUA